rnacentral:tmRNA from 1 species
GGGGGCGUAAAGGCUUCGACGGGGAUCAGAAAUCACGGUAAGCGAGUAGCGGCGCGGAUCCGCUUGAAAAGCCGCAAUCUUAAAAUUAAACGACAACAAUAAAGUUGCGUUAGCAGCCUAACUUAGGCUGCCGUCUUUACCGGGAGCACCGCGGCCCGGCUAGAGGCGUCGAUGAGCGGUGAACGUGAACCGGGAAGCGCCUUCUUCCCGGUCAUGACCUUCGGGCUACCAACGCGCAUAGGCUGGCAGCUGCCGCUGCGCCGAGGGAAUUCAAAAUAACUGCCUGCACUCGGAGAAAGCUGUGAGGAUGGGUUUUCGGACAGGGGUUCGAUUCCCCUCGCCUCCACCA